rnacentral:rRNA from 1 species
GACGAACGCUGGCGGCGUGCUUAACACAUGCAAGUCGAGCGGUAAGGCCCUUUCGGGGGUACACGAGCGGCGAACGGGUGAGUAACACGUGGGUGACCUGCCCUCAGCUCUGGGAUAAGCCUGGGAAACCGGGUCUAAUACCGGAUAUGACUCCAUGACGCAUGUUGUGGGGGUGGAAAGCCUUGUGCGGCUGAGGAUGGGCCCGCGGCCUAUCA